UCGUGACCCUGACCAAAACAGACCGCGCACGCGUCAUCCAAUCCGUCGGCGACGGCAUCGUCUGUCGCUCGACCAAUGCCCCGACCACCUCCCCUCCUUGGAGUGGGUGGGGGCUCGGGGUAAAAGAACCCACGGCGCCGAAGGCGUCAAGGAACACUGUGCCUAACCCGGGGGCAUGGCUAGCUUGCUAGCCGUCCCUCGUGUUGCAAAGCUAUUUAAUCCACACGACUCUCGGCAACGGAUAUCUCGGCUCUCGCAUCGAUGAAGAACGUAGCGAAAUGCGAUACCUGGUGUGAAUUGCAGAAUCCCGCGAACCAUCGAGUCUUUGAACGCAAGUUGCGCCCGAGGCCACUCGGCCGAGGGCACGCCUGCCUGGGCGUCACGCCAAAACACGCUCCCAAACCCCUCAUCGGGAAUCGGGAUGCGGCAUCUGGUCCCUCGUCUCGCAAGGGGCGGUGGACCGAAGAUCGGGCUGCCGGCGUACCGCGUCGGACACAGCGCAUGGUGGGCGUCCUCGCUUUAUCAACGCAGUGCAUCCGACGCGCAGCCGGCAUGAUGGCCUCAAAACGACCCAGCAAACGAAGCGCACGUCGCUUCGACC
rnacentral:rRNA from 1 species